CAGUCACACAGCCCAGCCGCCCAGAAAGGCCUCAGACCAGUCGUGAUGAUGCCGGUAUUGCAGGUUCUGCUUCUGCCAGCCGACCUCCUGUAAGGCGCCCAUCACAGGGCUCGGGCCACUUACCAAGGAGGCCAACUAAGACUCGGCGUCUUGGGUCUGAAUCUGCACCUCCAUCAUCCCCACCCAGGCGAAGGCUAUCGGCAGUGUCAUCCCAGCCACCACUGGCACUAUUGGCGAGUUCGCAGAGUGAUGAGCCCAGAUCACCUCAGUUAUCUGAGCACAACUUGAUGUCCGGUGACGAGCAGCAGGGACCAGAACAACAGCCAUCAUUCACACUGCAACUUACAGCUGUUGAUCCAAGCAUGCCAAUCCAGUUGCAGGAUAUACCCCAACCAACCAGCAGUCCACAACUGGCACAAGCUCCGCCCCAAACCCAAAUUCCAGACGACUUUUGGGCAAGUUGGACAAGCCAACAGGCCCAAAGCAAUGCCACACUCACCCAACACACACAACACCUUGCCAGUCUGCCCCAUCAUCUUCCGCGUCUUAGUCGCAACUCAGGCAGACUAAUAGUCCAAGUAGGGAGAAUGGCGACCUCUAUGGAACAAAUUAGGGCGGAAAAUAGUCAAAUGAACGCAAACUUAACACGCAUUAUAGAUGACCAACAGCGACAUCAGCAGGCACUUGUACAGAUAAUACAACACAAUCAAGUGGUGAAUGAGGCCUUAUCCAGAAUAGUAGCCAGCCACACUGCUACAAACACACAGCUGAUUGCCAGUUUGAAUAAUCUCAGCAGCAAUAUUGCUAACAUGGGUGGCCAUCAAGCUACCUCCAGCUCUGGAACCACAACCCCGGUUCAAACGCCAGUCACCUCCCCUGUCCGGCGUUCAUCAAGAGCACGUGCCAGUGAGCCAGCACCCAGCACACACAAGAGAAAAAAAUAACUGAAAAAUGUUGUUAAGAAAAAAU